UGAAGUGAAGUGAUGUGAAGUGAAGUGAUGUGAAGUGAUGUGAAGUGAAGUGAAGGGAAAGCAAGAAAGGAAGUGACAUUUAUCCUUAAAGAGAAUUGUAGAUCUGUACAUAUAUUAUAUUGUUCAGAUUUUCAAUUCUCUUGCAGAAAACACUUUGAUCUUAGCUCUGUUUCAGAUGCAGAAGAAAACAGAAGUAGUAAAGAAAUGAGUGCAAAAAAAACUAAAACCUGUUCAAUAACAGGAUGUCCUGGAAAUCUUCAAUUGGAAGGAAGACAUGUAUUUAGAUUUCCAAAAGAACAUGACAGAUGGUUGCAAUGGGUACAAGCAAGUGGAAGACUAGAUUUAAAAGAAAAAGGACUUGAAUAUUCGUAUAGAAAUUGCUGAUUAUGCUCUUUGCAUUUUGAGGAGAAAUGGUUUAGGAUUAAUAAAAGAAGAAUUCUUCUUCAUCCUGAUGCCAUACCCACAAGAUUUGGAGAAGAUUUAGCAUCAUGUUUUAAAACAAUUGAAAUAGAAAUGGAUGCAGAAGCAGAAAAGGACACAAUAACGGAAGAUAUACAAGAGCAAGCAAAUUCUGUUAUAGAAAAAGAAAAAGGAAACAACAUAGAAGAGGAAAUUGAAAUGGAUACUGACAACAUAGAAGAGGUAAUUACAAUGGAUGUUGAAAUUAUG